rnacentral:sRNA from 2 species
UCAACUGCCGUUGUCUCCAACCUCCUUAAUCAAUGUGAAAACGAUCCUCGGUUCCUGUGUUUUGGAUCUUGUGACCAGACUAACCUCGCCAGUGCAGGGGUUGGUGUGUCUGCAUGGGAAAUGCACUAAUAUGGAUGUUUCUCUUUGUGUGUGCACCCUUGCAGUGUUGUUUACCAGGAUGGAUUUUAUGGUGCAGACAUUUAUGGUGGUUAUGCUGCAUACCGCUACGCCCAGCCUACCCCUGCCACUGCCGCUGCCUACAGUGACAGUUACGGACGAGUUUAUGCUGCCGACCCCUACCACCACGCACUUGCUCCAGCCCCCACCUACGGCGUUGGUGCCAUGAAUGCUUUUGCACCUUUGACUGAUGCCAAGACUAGGAGCCAUGCUGAUGAUGUGGGUCUCGUUCUUUCUUCAUUGCAGGCUAGUAUAUACCGAGGGGGAUACAACCGUUUUGCUCCAUACUAAAUGACAAAACCAUAAAAACCUUCCAAUGUGGGGAGAAAGGAAGCUUUCCGAGGCCUGAGUAUUGCAAUACAUGCAGUAGUACAUCAUUUUAGCAACUCU